CAGCCGCCGCGGUAAUACGAAGGGGGCUAGCGUUGCUCGGAAUGACUGGGCGUAAAGGGCGCGUAGGCGGAUUGUUUAGUUAGGCGUGAAAUUCCUGGGCUUAACCUGGGGACUGCGCUUAAUACAGGCAGUCUAGAGUGAGGAAGAGGGUUGUAGAAUUCCCAGUGUAGAGGUGAAAUUCGUAGAUAUUGGGAAGAACACCGGUGGCGAAGGCGGCAACCUGGUCCUUGACUGACGCUGAGGCGCGAAAGCGUGGGGAGCAAACAGGAUUAGAUACCCCGGUAGUCCCUGUCUCUUAUAU
rnacentral:rRNA from 1 species